rnacentral:rRNA from 1 species
UACAGAGGUCUCAAGCGUUGUUCGGAUUCAUUGGGCGUAAAGGGUGCGUAGGCGGCGCGGUAAGUCGGGUGUGAAAUUUCGGAGCUUAACUCCGAAACUGCAUUUGAUACUGGCGUGCUUGAGGACUGGAGAGGAGACUGGAAUUCAUGGUGUAGCAGUGAAAUGCGUAGAGAUGUGGAGGAACACCGAUGGCGAAGGCAGCCCCCUGGGUCAAGAUUGACGCUCAUGCACGAAAGCUAGGGGAGCAAACAGG